rnacentral:rRNA from 1 species
UACGUAGGGGGCAAGCGUUGUCCGGAAUCAUUGGGCGUAAAGAGCGUGUAGGCGGUUCGAUAAGUCGGCUGUGAAAGUCCAGGGCUCAACCCUGGGAUGCCGGUCGAAACUGUCGGACUAGAGUUCGGAAGAGGCGAGUGGAAUUCCCGGUGUAGCGGUGAAAUGCGCAGAUAUCGGGAGGAACACCGGUGGCGAAGGCGGCAUCCUGGACCGGUAUUGACGCUGAGGCGCGAAAGCGUGGGGAGCAAACGGG